AUACGGAGGAUGCGAGCGUUAUCCGGAUUUAUUGGGUUUAAAGGGGGCGUAGGCUGUGCGUUAAGUCAGGGGUGAAAUGCCGUCGCUCAACGACGGAGCUGCCCUUGAUACUGGCGUGCUGGAGUCCGGAUGCCGUUGGAGGAAUGAGUGGUGUAGCGGUGAAAUGCUUAGAUAUCACUCAGAACACCGAUUGCGAAGGCAUCUGACGAAUCCGUCACUGACGCUGAGGCACGAAAGCGUGGGGAUAGAACAGGAUUAGAUACCCUGGUAUUCCACGCCGUAAACGAUGAUGACUAACCGUCGGCGAUAGACAGCCGGUGGCCAAGCGAAAGCGAUAAGUCAUCCACCUGGGGAGUACGUCGGCAACGAUGAAACUCAAAUGAAUUGACGGG
rnacentral:rRNA from 1 species